rnacentral:rRNA from 1 species
UACAGAGGUCCCGAGCGUUGUUCGGAUUCAUUGGGCGUAAAGGGUGCGUAGGCGGCGGGGCAAGUCUGAUGUGAAAUCCUGGCGCUCAACCCCAGAACUGCAUUGGAUACUGCUUUGCUAGAGUACUGGAGAGGGAACUGGAAUUUACGGUGUAGCAGUGAAAUGCGUAGAGAUCGUAAGGAAGGCCAGUGGCGAAGGCGAGUUCCUGGACAGUGACUGACGCUGAGGCACGAAGGCCAGGGGAGCAAACGGG